rnacentral:lncRNA from 1 species
ACUAUUGAACCAGGCUGAAGCCGUAAUGAAUAACAACAGACGCCGGUUACAACGAAAAUAAACAACGAGUCGGAUAGCAGAAUAGACUCAACAACAAGUGGCAAAGCAGUAGAUCAAAGCUGUAAUAUAUUGAUUGGAAUAAAAUUAAAACCAGUUUGAGUUAGGUCGUCGAUCGAACUAGUUGUAUUACUUUUUUAAAAAGAAAACCCGAAGCGAAAGCGUUUAACUGGAGGCUCCGGCGAGAUACAGCAAAUAUCGGGAACAGUAUAUGUGAUUGUGUAAAAUUCUUAAACUUGGUCCCUAGAGCCAAGCACGACGAAAAGUGCAAAACUCUAAACAGUGUAAAAAUUCACAAAACUGGUUCAAAGAGCCAAACACUUCACGAAGCGAGAAGGAAGGUCACCGUGGAAAUUAAUCCCAAUCGAUACGAGGGUCCUCAGUAGUGAAGCAGCAACAUAGCAGCGGAGCAAACCGGAUAAACCCAAAAUUUCAGCCACCUCUCCCCCGAACUUGUUGUACUGCCAAAUAAAAAGACCAGAUUGGAACAGAUGCUGGCCGUACCCAGGACACGGUCCUAUAUAAAGAGAACCAUCAUUAACAACCUUCCUCAAAUUUCAAAAGGAAUUACAUCAAGAACAAUCACCAACAACUUUCCACAGAUUUCAAAAGAAAUUAAAUCAGGACAUCAACAAACUAUUUUUCGGAACCUGUCACCAGCAGAAUUGAUUCAGAUGGAACCUCAUCACUAAGGCGGGAGGAAUUAACUAUUGAACCAGGCUGAAGCCGUAAUGAAAAACAACAGACGCCGGUAACAACGAAAAUAAACAACGAGUCGGAUAGCAGAAUAGACUCAACAACAAGUGGCAAAGCAGUAGAUCAGAGCUGUAAUAUAUUGAUUGGAAUAAAAUUAAAACCAAUUUGAGUUAGGUCGUCGAUCGAA